rnacentral:rRNA from 1 species
GGAUGGUCCCCCACACUGGUACUGAGACACGGACCAGACUCCUACGGGAGGCAGCAGUGAGGAAUAUUGGUCAAUGGGCGAAAGCCUGAACCAGCCAUGCCGCGUGAAGGAUGACAGCCCUAUGGGUUGUAAACUUCUUUUGUACGGGAAGAAACGCCUCUACGUGUAGAGGUUUGACGGUACCGUACGAAUAAGCAUCGGCUAACUCCGUGCCAGCAGCCGCGGUAAUACGGAGGAUGCAAGCGUUAUCCGGAUUUAUUGGGUUUACAGGGUACGUAGGCGGGAGCUUAAGUCAGUGGUGAAAUCCUGCAGCUUAACUGUAGAACUGUCAUUGAUACUGGGCUUCUUGAAUGUAGUUGAGGUAGGCGGAAUGUGUAAUGUAGCGGUGAAAUGCUUAGAUAGUACACAGAACACCGAUUGCGAAGGCAGCUUACUAAACUACGAUUGACGCUGAGGUACGAAAGCGUGGGGAGCGAACAGGAUUAGAUACCCUGGUAGUCCACGCUGUAAACGAUGAUCACUCGUUGUUGGCAAUACACCGUCAGCGACUGAGCGAAAGCAUUAAGUGAUCCACCUGGGGAGUACGACCGCAGGGUUGAAACUCAAAGGAAUUGACGGGGGCCCGCACAAGCGGAGGAACAUGUGGUUUAGUUCGAUGAUACGCGAGGAACCUUACCUGGGCUUAAAUGUAGAACGACGGACCGGGAAACUGGUCUUUCCUCGGACGGUCUGCAAGCUGCUGCAUGGCUGUCGUCAGCUCGUGCCGUGAGGUGUCGGGUUAAGUCCCAUAACGAGCGCAACCCUCAUCAUCAGUUGCCAGCGGGUAAUGCCGGGGACUCUAAUGAAACUGCCGGUGUAAACCGAGAGGAAGGUGGGGAUGACGUCAAGUCAGCACGGCCCUUAUGUCCAGGGCUGCACACGUGUUACAAUGGUCGGUACAAAGGGCAGCUACCUGCCGACAGGAUGCUAAUCUCGAAAACCGAUCUCAGUUCGGAUCGAAGUCUGCAACUCGACUUCGUGAAGCUGGAUUCGCUAGUAAUCGCGCAUCAGCCAUGGCGCGCUGAAUACGUUCC